CGGGGCGGCCCCGAGCCGCCUGCAGCGGCGCCGCGCCGGGCGCCCUCGGCCUUCCCGUCCCGCUCUCCGGCCUCAGCGCCUCCCCGGGGCCGUGCGGGAGUCUCGGGGGCUCCGGGUCGCUUGUGCUGAACUCGGGAGAUCAUCGUGUGCCAAGCACAGGCACCGCUGUGUGCUUGCGAGGGAGCGUGAGGCGCCCCGGGCGAGGAGCCCAGCCCGCCGAUGCGGGCAGCACGGGAGGAUGCAGGCGACGGGAGGAGCUGUCGCGCAGGAUGUUCCCCGUUGUGCACGGACUGACGUGUGCAGCACAUGAUGUCUUCAGAAGAGGACUUUCCAGAGGAUGCCAGCUUUUCCUCCGGCAUCAGCACCAGCCGGCUGCAGCAGGAAAUGCCGCCAGAUGCCUCCAAAGACCUGCGGUGCUCCAUCUGCCUCAACACACUUGACGACACCGCCUACAUCACCGUCUGCAUGCACCGGUUCUGCUACGGCUGCAUCCGGCAGAUAUGCAGGCGACGGGAGGAGCUGUCGGGUGAGUGCCCCCCAGCAGCGAGGGAGCAAAGCUAAAGCCCGAGGUGGCACGGGGGGGCCUGAGCAGCCUGCUCCCAGGGCCUCGGCUGUGCCUGCGGUGUGCGCAGCAGGGGGUCCCCCAGCGGUGCCUUCCUCCUUCUGGAGGCAUGGUGGCCCUGGGAGCAUCUGCAAAGCCCCAGGUCCAAGGUGGUUGGAGGGGGGCUGUUUCUGGGGCUGUGCAAUGGGUGCAGGUGCUGCGCUGCAGAGGCAGCAGCUGGCGCAUGCUCCACCCACAGGAAAGGCCCGUGCGCUCAAAGAAGCAGGAGCGCAGUUACAGCUGAGCUCCGGGGUGGGCCAGCCUCAGGGACAUCCCCUCUGCUGUCCCUCUGCCCGGAGAUGCUUUGGCAAACCACAGGAUCACCGAAUCACCAAAGAAUGGUUGGGGUUGGAAGGGACCUCCGGAGAGCCUCUAGUCCAGCCUCCCUGCUCAAGCAGGGUCCCCUAGAGCAGCUUAGUCAGCACCCUGUCCAGGUGCCUUUGCAAUAGCUCCAAGGAUGGAGCCUCCACAACGUCUCUGGGCAACCUCUUGCAGUGCUCUGGCACCCUCACACGAGGAAAGUUGUUCCUUCUGUUCAGACGCAACUUCCUGUGUUUCGCUUGGUGCCCGCUGCCUCUCGUCCUGUCCCUGGGCACCACUGAAGAGAGCCUGCCACCAUCCUCUUUACACCCUCCCCUCAGUUAUUUAUCGGCAUCGAUAAGAUUCCCCCAUCAGUCUUCGCUCCUCCAGGCUCCACAGGCCCAGCUCUCCCAGCCUUUCCUCACAGCAGAGAUGCUCCAGUCCCUUCCUCCUCUUCGGAGCCCUUUGCUCCACUGGCUCCACAUCUGUCUUGUACUGCGGAGCUCCGAACUGGACACAGUACGCCAGGGCUGGCCUCAGCAGGGUGGCUGAGGAGAGCACAUCACCUGCCUGGACCUGCUGGCAAGGCUCUGCUCUUCCUAAUGCAGCCCAGGAUGCCAUUGACUGCCCUUGCCGCAAGGGCCCAUUGCUGGCUCAUGGUCCACUUGUUGCCCCCCAGGACUCCCAGGUCCUGCUCGGCAGAGCUGCUUCCCAGCAGGUCGGGCCCAGCAUGUCCUGCUGCCUGCGCUUAGUCCUCCCCAGGAGCAGGACUCUUCUGCGCUUCCCUUGAGUGAACUUCAGCAGGGUCCUCUCUGCCCAUUUCUCCACACGGGCGAGGUCCCUCUCAAUGGCAGCACAGGCCUCUGCUGCAUCAGCCACUCCUCCCAGCUUUGCCCAACCAGCAAACUUGCUGAGGGUACACUCUGUCCCUUCGUCCAGGGCACUGAUGAACAAGUUGAACAGCAUGGCACCCAGCAGUGACCCCUGGGGUACACCGUGCGCUACAGGCCUCCAGCUAGACUUUGCGCCAUGGAUCCCAACCCUCUGAGCUCUGCCACUCAGCCAGUUUUCAAGCCACCUCACUGUCUUGCCUGUGAGCAUGGUACAGCAGAAGUGUCAAAAGCCUUCCGGAAGUUGUCAGGAGCAACAGACACCGCUCUUGCCUCGUCGACCAGCACAGUCAUUUCACCCCAGAAGGCCCUCAGGUGGGAGGGGGCCAGGGCGCUUGGGGCAGGGCACCACAAAGGCCUUGGGCCAAGCAUGCUUGCAAGGAGGGAGAAAAGGCAGCGUGGACAGGAAAGCCUUGGCAGGACCUGCCGAGUCCUCUGCCUUUUGCCCAGGCCUCUUCCCACGCCCAGGAGGCCAAGGUUGGUGUCAGCCGCAGAGGGGCACAGGAGCACAUGGCUCCCCAGAUGGGUCGGACCUGCCAGGAGGAAAACACACAGGCGCUGCCGGAGGUCUCUGUAGCGCAGCCACCGCUGGAGCAGCCCAGGGAGCCGGGAGCUUCUGGAGAUGAGGCCAAGUGCCACCGGGCAGCUCUGAGCCCCCCAGCAGCCCCUGUUUCAUCGUGCCCUGCCCCGUCGUUCCCAGGACAUGGGCCAGGCACCUCCAUCAGCAGGCUGUGCCAGGCAACGCUGCUGGAGGCCACUUGAGAUCUGUCCUGCCCUCCCCAUCUGCACACUUCUGACGUCCCCUAGGGAGGCUUUGGCUUUUCCCCUCUUGUGUCCAAUACACCCGCAGGCACUUGCCGAGUUGUGCUUCUGCACAACAAGCAACACACCCCAACUGCUGAAUGCAGAACAGGCUUUUUUAUGGUGCUGGGCUGGGGGGUGGAGGAAAGAGAGGGAAGGUUGUGCUGGACUCUUGGGCAGAAAAAGCUGUCCACUUCACCACCACGACUCUGGCUGGAUUUGGUCACCCUGACAGUUGGCAGCGUUUGACUUGACCUCUGCCGAAAGAGGAGAGGACGAGAAAUAACUGCACAACUCGGAGACCUGCACUAACAUCCAGCCUCCGACUGCCAGUGCAGCCAAGGCAAAGCCGGGCACAGCCCCAAGCAGCAACAGCCCCACGCGGAAAGCAGAGAGUUCCUGUGACUUCCGUGACAUCACCGCUUGGAGGCAGCCGCACAGUGGGGACCCCCUCACUUAGCCCCAAGCUCCGCGCUGGGUGGCACGCGAGGCGUCCAGGGCCCGGCAGGGUCACGGCUUUGCG